rnacentral:rRNA from 1 species
UCAGGACAACGCUGGCGGCUGGCCUAACACAUGCAAGUCGAGCGGAGCCAUCCAACAAUCCCUUCGGGGUGCGUUUGGGGAAGCUUAGCGGCGGACGGGUGAGUAACGCGUGAGUAACCUGCCCAUUAGUGGGGAAUAACACAGAGAAAUUUGUGCUAAUACCGCAUACUGAAUAUUUAAGGCAUCUUGAAUAUUUGAAAGAUUUAUCGCUAAUGGAUGGACUCGCGUCUGAUUAGAUAGUUGGUGAGGUAACGGCUCACCAAGUCGACGAUCAGUAGCCGAACUGAGAGGUUGAUCGGCCACAUUGGGACUGAGACACGGCCCAGACUCCUACGGGAGGCAGCAGUGGGGGAUAUUGCGCAAUGGGGGAAACCCUGACGCAGCAACGCCGCGUGCAGGAUGAAGGUCUUCGGAUUGUAAACUUUUGUCUUAUGGGACGAAAAAGGACGGUACCAUAGGAGGAAGCCACGGCUAACUACGUG